rnacentral:lncRNA from 1 species
UGUUGAUGCCCCUUUUACGCACGAAUUUCCUGUACAGUUUGGAGCUCCCCUGGGCGUCUGGGCUGGUCGCCAAGGCUCCCCCCCACAAGGCCUCAAGGCAUGAGAGGAGGACGGGGGAGCUGAGGAUUGUGAGCGUCUGGGCUGAGUGCGGACCGGCUCCCCCCUGCCGUGGGCACACGCCCCCCCACAGCCCCCCGGCAGCCCCCCCCCCGCCAUGCGCGCGCGCGCGUGUGUGUGUCCUGGGCCCGCGGGCCGCAGCCUGCGCUGUUAGCAGGAUUGCCUGCUGACUCGGGCCUUUCUGGAACUUCCCUCCCCCGGACAGGACGGGCCAGCGCUGUGCCUGCACAUCCUCUGUUCUGUCCCCGACACAAAGCGGGGCCAUUGUCCCCCCAAAUCCCGCUGGCGAUUACCUCCCUUUUGUCUCUCCCGCGAGGGUAUUUGGCAGAAAGCUGAGAGAGGGGAUUUUUCCCAUGGAAGGGCUUCCACCCGGACGAGAUGACCGGUGUGCGCCCCGGCCUUCCAGCACAAUCCCGUCUGCUCGCAGCUUCCAGGCCCUCUUCAGGAUCGGGACGCCUGCCCCGGGGGCCACCACAGCGCCGCCGCCCCCCCACCGAGAGAGCCGCGCUCAACACAGCGCUCGUGAGGCUGCUCGGAAAACAUUCGUGGACACAGAGAAAAGAAAUCCUCUUGUGUGAACUGUCCUGGGUGCGAUGGUCCCUAGACAGACCUCUGGGAAGAGGAGGAAGGACUCCGAAGGGCUACGGAGCAGGCAGGCAGGACAGGAGCUGAGAGAGAGACGGGAGAGAGGCAGCAGCACGAGCUCCUGUCCUCCUGGGAGCACACUGCCCUACUUCGCUCUGUUAGAAGUAGGUUACUACUCCUUCUAUUCUUGCUGCUCUGUGUGGGCUUUUUUUAGACUAGGCUGAAGCCCUGGCAGGAGCUACUCGUGGUACAGGGAAGACAGCGGAGGCUCUCAGCUGAUUGGUGCCAACUCUCUCGGUGACUCUCUACUCUCUCCUCCAGGGCGCUGGUUUAAUUGCUGGAGGGGCUUCAUAGGAAACACGUGCGAGACGGGGUACUGCUGGCACUCAAAUACCAGGAGGAUCACAGAGAGGGGGCGUACAGGAACGGAGGCCUGUCCUGUCCAAAACUGAGAACACGGGCACGCAGGGUUCUGCUUUCGUGCGGCAUCUCUGCAGUUGACAGCACACUUUGGAAACAGCUGGGUAGACGCCAGUGCAGAUCCUGUGCACCAUGUCUGAACUCGCUGGGAUGAGCCUUGUAGGACCCAGAACAGGACCUGUAUCUGUCUUCACACAGGCUGCCAUCACAUCAUCCAGGUGGGGGCUGUGCAUAGGUGGUGGUGGAGGGGAGUCCCUAUUACCUGUAAAGUGCUUUGAGUGGAGUGUCCAAAAAAAAAGCACUGUUUAAGUGUAAGUAAUUGUAUUGCAGAACAUGUUUUUAAGUGCUUGGAGCUGAGCAGUAAUAAAACAUACGUCACACA